rnacentral:rRNA from 1 species
UACGUAGGGCGCGAGCGUCGUCCGGAAUUAUUGGGCGUAAAGAGCUCGUAGGCGGCCGGUUGCGUCUGCUGUGAAAUCCCGGGGCUUAACCCCGGGCGUGCAGUGGAUACGGGCCGGCUGGAGGCAGGCAGGGGAGAAUGGAAUUCCCGGUGUAGCGGUGAAAUGCGCAGAUAUCGGGAGGAACACCGGUGGCGAAGGCGGUUCUCUGGGCCUGUACUGACGCUGAGGAGCGAAAGCGUGGGGAGCGAACAGG